UGAGGAAUAUUGGUCAAUGGGCGUGAGCCUGAACCAGCCAAGUAGCGUGCAGGAAGACGGCCCUAUGGGUUGUAAACUGCUUUUAUGCGGGGAUAAAGGAGUCCACGUGUGGAUUUUUGCAGGUACCGCAUGAAUAAGGACCGGCUAAUUCCGUGCCAGCAGCCGCGGUAAUACGGAAGGUCCGGGCGUUAUCCGGAUUUAUUGGGUUUAAAGGGAGCGUAGGCCGCGUUUUAAGCGUGUUGUGAAAUGUAGACGCCCAACGUCUGCAUCGCAGCGCGAACUGGGACGCUUGAGUACGCGCAACGUUGGCGGAAUUCGUCGUGUAGCGGUGAAAUGCUUAGAUAUGACGAGGAACUCCGAUUGCGAAGGCAGCUGACGGGAGCGGCACUGACGCUUAAGCUCGAAGGUGCGGGUAUCAAACAGGAUUAGAUACCCUGGUAGUCCGCACAGUAAACGAUGGAUGCCCGCUGUGUGCCAUUUAUGGUACGCGGCUAAGCGAAAGCGUUAAGCAUCCCACCUGGGGAGUACGCCGGCAACGGUGAAACUCAAAGGAAUUGACGGGGGCCCGCACAAGCGGAGGAACAUGUGGUUUAAUUCGAUGAUACGCGAGGAACCUUACCCGGGCUUGAACUGCCGGUGCACGAUCCAGAGAUGGUGAGGCCCUUCGGGGCGCCGGUGGAGGUGCUGCAUGGUUGUCGUCAGCUCGUGCCGUGAGGUGUCGGCUUAAGUGCCAUAACGAGCGCAACCCCUCUCCGUAGUUGCCAUCAGGUAAUGCUGGGCACUCUGCGGAUACUGCCACCGCAAGGUGCGAGGAAGGUGGGGAUGACGUCAAAUCAGCACGGCCCUUACGUCCGGGGCUACACACGUGUUACAAUGGGGGGCACAGCAAGUAGGCCGCGC
rnacentral:rRNA from 1 species